AUUGAACGCUGGCGGCAGGCCUAACACAUGCAAGUCGAACGAGCGGCGGACGGGUGAGUAAUGUCUGGGAAUCUGCCCGAUAGAGGGGGAUAACUACUGGAAACGGUUGCUAAUACCGCAUACCAUCAGAUGAUCCCAGAUGGGAUUAGCUUGUUGGUGGGGUAACGGCUCACCUAGGCGACGAUCCCUAGCUGGUCUGAGAGGAUGACCAGCCACACUGGGACUGAGACACGGUCCAGACUCCUACGGGAGGCAGCAGUGGGGAAUAUUGCACAAUGGGCGCAAGCCUGAAGCAGCCAUGCCGUGUGUAUGAAGAAGGCCUUAGGGGUGUAAAGUACUUUCAGCGGGGAGGCGUUACCCGCAGAAGAAGCACCGGCUAACUCCGUGCCAGCAGCCGCGGUAAUUC
rnacentral:rRNA from 1 species